UUUGAUUGUCCGAGUUGUAAUCUAGAGAAGUGCUACCCAGCGCUGGACCGUGUACAAGUCUCCUGGAAUGGAGCGUCAUAGAGGGUGAGAAUCCCGUCUCUGACACGGACUGCCAGUGUGUUGUGGUGUGCUCUCAAAGAGUCGAGUUGUUUGGGAUUGCAGCUCUAAAUGGGUGGUAAACUCCAUCUAAAGCUAAAUAUUGGCGAGAGACCGAUAGCGAACAAGUACCGUGAGGGAAAGAUGAAAAGAACUUUGGAAAGAGAGUUAAACAGUAUGUGAAAUUGUUGAAAGGGAAACAGUUGAAGUCAGUCUUGUCUGUCGGGGAUCAGCUCUGCUUUUUUGCUGAGUGCACUUCCUGACGUGACGGGUCAACAUCAGUUUUGAUCGCUAGAUAAAGGCGGAAGGGAAUGUGGCACCUCCGGGUGUGUUAUAGCUCUCUGUCAUAUGUAGU
rnacentral:rRNA from 1 species